rnacentral:lncRNA from 1 species
AAGAAUCAAAUCAGAGCANAAACAGGGCCUGAUCCACAUCAAAUCUUGCUCAAGCGUCGNAGGGAGCUCGCCCGGGCGUGAAUUAAGGGUUCUGUAAGGCUUGNGCGCAAGUUUUGGACGUUUGGGCUACGAGCGGCCGUCGCCCGGGCGUCGGGUCUGUCGCCCGGGCAAGGACGGUGAUUUCUUCNCGCAAAAUUUGCGCUUCUGUCGCCUGGUGCUCGCCU